CCCUGUGGUGUUUACUUAGAGCUACCUGCAUCAAGUCCAAAGGUCUCUAGAAGUAACCAGCAGCUAGUGCAGUGUCAGUUCAAAACAAUGUUGAACCCACAAGUUAACAAGUGCUUGUCUCUGCUUUGAAUUAUUUGCUCAGUUCUUGUCGCCAGCUCAAGCUCUCCCAUCUUCAAUAUUUCUGUGACCCUUAUUUGCUAUUUUAACGCCGCCAGAUGUUGCUUCAACACAUUUAUGUGAUAUUUCCAUCAUUAGCUCUGUUUGUCCAGAUUUUAUCUUUGAUUUCAUCUGUGCUUCUUCUAGUCGUGCCUUCUUUGGUUCAUCAUUAACUUUCUUCUAUUCUUAAUCCUUUCACACAGUUGAACUGUAUCUAAGCAUGUCUUGCCCUUGCAGAUAUUUGUUCAUUGGCCAUACAAGGAAGAUGAUGGCUUAAUUGAGGCAAAAUUGCUCUUCUUCAGCAAGUUCUAUCAACUUUCUUUGCUGGAGGUUGCUUUUCAGGGGACGCUGCUGGAUUUACCAACACAGAUCCCUCCUUUUGGUUUGAGCCUCCCAGAACAUGGUGAUGAGGUAUUUGCAUUGGGCAGGGACAAAGAUUUGUCACUGGUGGUCCGUCGUGGGACAAUUUCGCAAGGACGGCCUCUUCAUGCAUUGCGCCAAGGUUACCUCUUUGUGGACUAUGAACUACCUGAGUGUAACACAGGAGGACCAAUGGUUGAUCAUGAUGGCAACGUGGUAGGGCUGUCAAUACCUUGUGAUGAAGGAAUUUCGGUUAUUCUUCCUAUCUCUACUGCCCUCUCAUGUCUUAAUAUGUGGACUGAAUUCGGACGAAUUGCACGUCCCUUGCUCGGUAUGAGCUUUAGGAAUGUGGAGGUUCUGGAUGAUCUCUCUGGUGACAUCAAAUUUGAUGGUUUAGUUGUAGAUGAGAAGCAUGGAAGCAUGACAUGCCCAGCCAUGCGAGCCGAGCUCAGUCACGCCGUGCGGGACGACGUCAAACGGCGGGUGCCUCCGGAGUCCGCUCGCAGCUGGAGCAGAUAAUCAGGCCAAGGGUGAGGACGACGCCGGGAGGAGACGGAAGCGGGACGCGGAGUGUCGACCUCGCCGGCAUGCCCGGCCGUGAGAGCCGAGCUCAGUCGCACAGCGCGGGACGACGGCAAACGGCGCGCACCUCCGGAGUUCGCUCACGGCUGCUGGAGCAGAUUAGUCCGAUGGCGGGGAAGACGCCGGCGGGCGGCGGCGGCGGCGGACGGCCGGGAGGGGAGCUCCCGGUAUAUGCAAAUAAUCGGAUCGCGAUCCAAAUUACAGUUCUAUUUGUAAAACCGGGGUCUAUGUGAAAAAUAUUAGUUAGGGGCUUAAAUGUAAAAUA